rnacentral:RNase_P_RNA from 1 species
UCAGCAGGCCGGAUGGCCGCUCCGCCAAGGUCGCGUAUCAAGGCGGGGAGGAAAGUCCGGGCUCCAUGGAAGCACGGUGCCGGAUAACAUCCGGCGAGGGCGACCUUAGGGAAAGUGCCACAGAGAGCAGACCGCCUUUGCGCCGGAAACGGUGGCAAAGGUAAGGGUGAAAGGGUGCGGUAAGAGCGCACCGCGUGCUUGGCAACAAGGACGGCAAGGCAAACCCCACCGGGAGCAAGACCAAAUAGGGGUCGCGCGGGCGAGAAAUCGUCCAAGUCUGUUUCCAGACAAGUGACCCGGGUUGGUUGCAUGAGGCGUAUCGCAAGAUGCGCCCCAGAUGAAUGGCCAUCCUCUCGUGAAAGCGAGAGACAGAACCCGGCUUACAGGCUUGGUGACAUG